GUCGUUUCGGUUGUGCAUGCUUAUUUACUGUUCAACAUAAAGUUGUAGUUUUCCACACAGAACAGAAAUAACAGUUUACAGACCACCACUAUGGGAUCGGAGCAAAGCAGUCAAGCAAACUCUUCUCAGGCGUCAAGAAUCGGCCAGUUGCGGAGGGGGAAAUCCGUUCCGGAGUCGAAACGGACUCAAGAACAAGAGAACAUGGAAAGUUCUCGUCCUGGGAGCAUUUCUCCGGGACCCAGCGUCUGUUCUGAUUCAGAUCUUCCUUACAUAUCGUACACUGUUAAUCGACCAAUUGGAGAUUCUCCCAAACUCCCAGUCAAACAGCAGGGUCAGCUAAGUCGAGGCAAGAGUCUGGGAGCUACUGGAGGACUUCUGUCCUCGCCCGGGCGCCGAGUUGGUCUGCGCAAAGCAACCACUCCCCGCACUGCUGUUACUGUUCCUGCGCACAACAUAGUCGUCGUCAAACCUGCUCUUGCGCAGGAAACAACAGACAAAGAUGUUGACAUUUUACGCCUUCAGAGUAUUCCGAUGUUCCUCCCGAUCAUGAGAGGUACUCUUAACUUACCUGCAGCUCGAGACCCGGAAGUUCUAGAGCGUCUAGAUCCUAGCGCACUCUACCGUCUCUGUCUUCAUUAUCAAGACUACCUUCGUCAAUCCGCCUCCUUGGUAGCAGACGAACAGACUUCUAUCUCCAUCAAAAUAAAGGAGAUUGACAAUGAAGUAACGAGGUUCCUGCAGUUGAUGACUGAGCGACAAAAGACGUUUGCCAAGUACGCUGAACGUCUAGCCAAGGUGAGCGACGUGUCUCAUCAACUCAACCGAUGCCACUUACUACUCAACCAAACCCUGGAUACUCUCGAGUCGCUCAACAAUUCUCUUCCUUCAGAUGAACGACUCGAACCAUUUGUCUGGACUACUGGUUAGCAUAUGGUGUAAAUUAGGAGUGUAUAUUUUUUAUAUAAAAUUACUGCUGGUUUCAAAUGUGAUCCUAGGUUUUAAAAUAUUAAAUUUAAGCUCUAAUGGCAUCGAUUUGUUUUUAUAGUAUAAGUUAUCACAUGGCAUUGUGUAUGUUAAGUUACAUAUCAUUCCUUUUGCACCAUUCGCUAAUACUACUGAGAUUAAGCUGUAGAUCUGUCGUGAUACUUUGAUUAUACUGGGUAAUUUUUUGUUAUGUCCUACCUUAACAUCCUAGGACGCUAGGUUUUAGCCCGGAACUGUUUACACAUUACUAAGGGCUAGACAGAGAGGGUCGCGAGGUUAUCUCAUAGUUAAACCCAAUAGGUGAUUGGCGGGAUUUGAACCAGGGACCUCAGCAAAGCCCAAAGCCAGAGGCUCUACCUCUAGAACAGCUCGCUUCCCAAUGGGGUAAUUGGGGAAGACAACGUGUAACUAUAAGCACAUUUAAUCCAUCAGGGUUUAAAUUUGGUACCGGUACAAACAUUUAAACCUACGUUUAUUCAAACGAGAUAGCAGACGUAAAUUUUAAUUAGGGUUACAGUUUGCUUGUUUGUGGAUAUAUCUUGAUCAAACUUGAUAAAUUUAUAUAAUUUAUACUAAGCUGUUAACAUUUUACUAAAAAGCACACUUUAUUACCUAAAAAUUAAAUUAUCAGCUUUGCUGCAAAGAACUGUUCAAGAUUUAGUUAGUUGCACUAGUAUGUAGUUUGAUUAGUAUGUAGUUGCAUUAGUAAGUAGUUUGAUUAGUAUGUAGUUGCAUUAGUAAGUAGUUUGAUUAGUAUGUAGUUGCAUUAGUUUGUAGUUGCAUUAGUAAGUAGUUUUAUUAGUAUGUAGUUGCAUUAGUAUGCAGUAUGUAGUUUGAUUUGUGCAUGUUUUUUAGAGAUAGUUUUGUUUUUUCCUACAGUCAAUUUUUUUUUUUUUUGGUAAUGGUAGGAAAAAUAGAAUGUGCAACGCGAGUGCAAAUUGCAAUUGUUCACUAGUUGCAGAAAUUACUAUUGUCCAACCUUUAAGUAAUAGACGCUAGGUUCUAGCCUGGAAAUGUUUUCCACAUUAGUUCAGGCUAGUAAAUAACAUCUAUUGGAGAUUAGGUGGAUCUAAACCCAGGACCUCAGGCUCGGGCUGUCUCUCUGGACCUCUCUCUCGCAAGGGUGACUCGUUAUCGACGAUCCUCUUAUCAAGGUUUUACUGUAGUUCAUCAGUGUAGAAUGAUAAAUGAAAUGAAGAUUUCAAAAAGUAAAAUUGUCAGCUUUGCUGCAAAGAACUUUUCAAGUGCUAGCCGGGAUAGUGGAAGUCACUGUACUUUGUCAGUCAUGGACCUAGUGCAGGAAAGGUGGAUUUACUAAGACUCUCUCUAUCCAACCACCACGCUAGGGCUUUGAUGGUGAAGGCCUGUAUCAACCAAGCACUGAACAUAACAUGGGAUUUGAUUUAACAUCGUCAGUCCUGAGUUUUAUUACAAUCCUGUACUCAAUUGAGACGAUUUGUACACUAUAGUGUACUUAAGUUUUAAGUGAAAUUUCCAGGGCAAAAAAGAUGUCAUGACUUUGGGAUUUUCUUGUUACACCAAGUUGAGAAAUUGCUCAGAUGUCGAAAGAAAUAUCACAGCCAGCAAAACAAAGUGUUAUCACUGAUGUAGUCAAUGUAGUGAUCUAGUAAAAACUACAACUACAAGUGAUAGUGACACCGGUCAGUACAUGGUGCCUGCGGUGGUGGGGAUGCAUUAUCUUCAUACAUUUUGUGACCAAAUAACGGUGUAAAUACCUGCGUUUAUGAAUUGGUACUUAACACUGCUGUUUUCUUGUUUUGAUUUUUUUUGCCUUGCAUGGUGUGUUGCUUUGUAGAUGUUGUUUGCUUUUAACUGUUUUUUGUGUGUGCUUGCAUUAGUAUUUAGUUUCAUUAGUAUGUAGUUGCAUUAGUUUGUAGUAUGUAGUUUGAUUUGUGCAUGUUUUUUUAGAGAUAGUUUUGUUUCACUGUCAGUGGCAAUGAAAGGUUAUGAAUGAACAAAACCUUAACCUCUCUUAAAAGGUUAAAAGUUAUGAGUACAGUAGUGAUUUUUAGUAUUUAAAACACUAGAGAGCCGGGCUGGGGCUCUCUCUCGGGACCUCUCUCUCGUUGACGUCGCUGCUCCCUGUGGCCAGGUGAUGGACGUUAGUGUCACAGCCCAACAGCAGGUGACUCCUUUCCCUGACUCCGUAUUCUACCACCAUCGUCAUUUCUCUGGUCAAUGGUGGUUCCCGGGAGUCCUUUGCAUAUUAUGUUAUUGUAAAAAGGUGAUAUCCGUUGGAAUCAAUAAAUAAAUGACAUCGGGAGCGAUAGUCCCACAGUAGUGGUACUAUGACUACUAGUGGUAUAUGAAUUUGGUACUUAGCACUGCUGUUUUCCUGUUUUGAUUUUUUUUGCCUUGCAUGGUGUGUUGCUUUGUAGAUGUUUGCUUUUAACUGUUUUUUGUGUGUGCAUGCAUUAGUAUGUAGUUGCAUUAGUAUGUAGUUUCAUUAGUAUGUAGUUGCAUUAGUUUGUAGUAUGUAGUUUGAUUUGUGCAUGUUUUUUUAGAGAUAGUUUUGUUUCACUGUCAGUGACAAUGAAGACCAUGAACGAACCCUUAACCUCUCUUAAAAGGUUAAAAGUUAUGAGUACUGUAGUGAUUUUUAGUAUUUAAAACGCUAGAGAGCCGGGCUGGGGCUCUCCCUCAGGACCUCUCUCUCGUUGACGUCGUUGCUCCCUGUGGCCAGGUGAUGGACGUUAGUGUCACAGCCCAACAGCAGGUGACUCCUUUCCCUGACUCCGUAUUCUACCACCAUCGUCAUUUCUCUGGUCAAUGGUGGUUCCCAGGAGUGUCCUUUGCAUAUUAUGUUAUUGUAAAAAGGUGAUAUCCGUUGGAAUCAAUAAAUAAAGGACAUCAGGAGCGAUAGUACCACAGUUGUGGUACUAUGACUACUAGAUGUUGUUUGCUUUUAACUGUUUUUUAUGUGUGCAUGCAUUAGUAUUUAGUUUCAUUAGUAUGUAGUUGCAUUAGUAUGUAGUUGCAUUAGUAUGUAGUUGCAUUAGUAUGUAGUUUCAUUAGUAUGUAGUUGCAUUAGUUUGUAGUAUGUAGUUUGAUUUGUGCAUGUUUUUUUAGAGAUAGUUUUGUUUCACUGUCAGUGGCAAUGAAAGGUUAUGAACGAAACCCUAAAAGGUAUGAGUUGUGAUUAUUAGUAUUUAAAACGCUAGAGAGCCGGGCUGGGGCUCUCUCUCAGGACCUCUCUCUCGUUGACGUCGCUGCUCCCUGUGGCCAGGUAAUGGACGUUAGUGUCAGGCGCUGAGGUCGUGGGGGAGCUGAGGUCCUGGGGGCGCUGAGGUCCAGGGAGAGCUGAGGUCCUGGGGGCGCUGAGGUCCUGGUGGCGCUGAGGUCCAGGGGGAGCUGAGGUCCUGGGG